rnacentral:rRNA from 1 species
CCUACGGGAGGCUGCAGUGGGGAAUAUUGGGCAAUGGGCGCAAGCCUGACCCAGCAACGCCGCGUGAAGGAAGAAGGCUUUCGGGUUGUAAACUUCUUUUAUCAGGGACGAAGCAAGUGACGGUACCUGAUGAAUAAGCCACGGCUAACUACGUGCCAGCAGCCGCGGUAAUCCGUAGGUGGCAAGCGUUAUCCGGAUUUACGGUGUGUAAAGGGCGUGUAGGCGGGAGUGCAAGUCAGAUGUGAAAACUAUGGGCUCAACCCAUAGCCUGCAUUUGAAACUGUACUUCUUGAAUGCGGGAGAGGCAAUCGGAAUGCCGUGUGUAGCGGUGAAAUGCAUAGAUAUACGGAGGAACACCAGUGGCGAAGGCGGAUUGCUGGACAGUAACUGACGCUGAGGCGCGAAAGCGUGGGGAGCAAACAGGAUUAGAUACCCGAGUAGUC